ACUCAUUAAGGAUAGGUAUGGUUUGUUAGAAUUUAAUUUCAAAAUUUGUUUGAAUUUGAAUAUAAAACAAACUCUACAUUCUUAUCUUUAUCCUUGCUGUCGGCCACUUGUGAGUGCUCAAUUUGUGCGACAAAAAGGAGAAGCUCCUAAAGUUUUUCUAUGCCCAUCUACUCAUGUUCGGCACUUCUUUGACCAGAGAAUGUAUGGGGAUA
rnacentral:lncRNA from 1 species